CCUACGGGAGGCAGCAGUGGGGAAUAUUGCACAAUGGGCGCAAGCCUGAUGCAGCGACGCCGCGUGAGUGAAGAAGGUCUUCGGUAUGUAAACCUCUGUCAGCAGGGAAGAAAAGUACGGUACCUGACCAGGAAGGCCUGGAUAAGUACGUGACAGCACCCGCGGGAAUACUCAGGGCGCGAGCGUUCACCGGAUGUACUGGGUGUAAAGGGAGCGUAGACGGCAGGGCAAGUCAGGAGUGAAAGGCGGGGGUCCAACCCCCGGACUGCUCUGGAAACUGGCAGGCUGGAGUGCAGGAGAGGUAAGUGGAAUUCCUGGUGUAGCGGUGAAAUGCGUAGAUAUUAGGAGGAACACCAGUGGCGAAGGCGGCUUACUGGACUGUAACUGACGUUGAGGCUCGAAAGCGUGGGGAGCAAACAGGAUUAGAUACCCCUGUAGUC
rnacentral:rRNA from 1 species